rnacentral:rRNA from 1 species
UACGUAGGGCGCAAGCGUUGUCCGGAAUUAUUGGGCGUAAAGAGCUCGUAGGCGGUUUGUCGCGUCUGCUGUGAAAACCUGAGGCUCAACCUCGGGCUUGCAGUGGGUACGGGCAGACUAGAGUGCGGUAGGGGUGACUGGAAUUCCUGGUGUAGCGGUGGAAUGCGCAGAUAUCAGGAGGAACACCGAUGGCGAAGGCAGGUCACUGGGCCGCAACUGACGCUGAGGAGCGAAAGCAUGGGGAGUGAACAGG